CUGCACUGCUGAGGGGGAGGAGGUAGAAAAUUCAGGAAUGAAGCUGUGCCCGAGAAGAAGGGAGGGGUGGAGGGAAGGUGUUUUAAGAUUUUAUUUUAUUUCUCAUUAUCCUACUCUUGAUUGGAUUGGUAAUGAAUUAAAUUAGUUUACCCCAAGUCAAAUCUGUUUUGCCCAUGAUGGUAAUUGGUGAGUGAUCUCUCCCUGUCCUUAUCUCAACCCACGAGCUUUUCUUUAUAUUUUCUCUCCCCUGUCCAGCU